CCUACGGGUGGCUGCAGUGGGGAAUAUUGCACAAUGGGCGCAAGCCUGAUGCAGCUAUGCCGCGUGUGUGAAGAAGGCCUUCGGGUUGUAAAGCACUUUCAGCGGGGAGGAAGGCGGUGAGGUUAAUAACCUCAUCGAUUGACGUUACCCGCAGAAGAAGCACCGGCUAACUCCGUGCCAGCAGCCGCGGUAAUACGGAGGGUGCAAGCGUUAAUCGGAAUUACUGGGCGUAAAGCGCACGCAGGCGGUCUGUCAAGUCGGAUGUGAAAUCCCCGGGCUCAACCUGGGAACUGCAUUCGAAACUGGCAGGCUAGAGUCUUGUAGAGGGGGGUAGAAUUCCAGGUGUAGCGGUGAAAUGCGUAGAGAUCUGGAGGAAUACCGGUGGCGAAGGCGGCCCCCUGGACAAAGACUGACGCUCAGGUGCGAAAGCGUGGGGAGCAAACAGGAUUAGAUACCCCAGUAGUC
rnacentral:rRNA from 1 species